rnacentral:rRNA from 1 species
UACGAAGGGUGCGAGCGUUGUUCGGAAUUACUGGGCGUAAAGGGUUCGUAGGCGGGAGGAUAAGUUGGAUGUGAAAACCUUGGGCUCAACCUGAGACGUGCAUCCAAAACUGUCUUUCUUGAGUGCCGGAGAGGGUCGUGGAAUUGCUGGUGUAGGAGUGACAUCCGUAGAGAUCAGCAGGAACACCGGAGGCGAAAGCGACGGCCUGGUCGAGUACUGACGCUGAGGAACGAAAGCGUGGGGAGCAAACAGG